UACGGAGGGUGCAAGCGUUAAUCGGAAUUACUGGGCGUAAAGGGUACGUAGGCGGUUAUUUAAGUUGGAUGUGAAAGCCCCGGGCUCAACCUGGGAACUGCAUCCAAAACUGGGUAACUAGAGUGUAUGAGAGGUUGGCGGAAUUCCAGGUGUAGCAGUGAAAUGCGUAGAUAUCUGGAGGAACAUCAGUGGCGAAGGCGGCCAACUGGCAUAACACUGACGCUGAGGUACGAAAGCGUGGGGAACGAACGGGAUUAGAUACCCCGGUAGUCCACGCCCUAAACGAUGAGAACUAGCUGUUGGUUGCGUAAAUGCAGUCAGUAGCGAAGCUAACGCGUUAAGUUCUCCGCCUGGGGAGUACGACCGCAAGGUUGAAACUCAAAGGAAUUGACGGGGGCCCGCACAAGCGGUGGAGCAUGUGGUUUAAUUCGAUGCAACGCGAAGAACCUUACCAUCCCUUGACAUCCUCAGAAUUUGUCGUAAUGACUUAGUGCCUUCGGGAACUGAGAGACAGGUGCUGCACGGCUGUCGUCAGCUCGUGUCGUGAGAUGUUGGGUUAAGUCCCGCAACGAGCGCAACCCCUAUCUUUAGUUGCCAGCACGUAAUGGUGGGAACUCUAGAGAGACUGCCGGUGAUAAGCCGGAGGAAGGUGGGGACGACGUCAAGUCAUCAUGGCCCUUACGGGAUGGGCUACACACGUGCUACAAUGGUGCAUACAGAGGGUUGCCAACCCGCGAGGGGGAGCUAAUCCCAGAAAGUGCAUCUUAGUCCGGAUCGCAGUCUGCAACUCGACUGCGUGAAGUUGGAAUCGCUAGUAAUCGCGAAUCAGCAACGNCGC
rnacentral:rRNA from 1 species